AAUACUUCUGCGAGCGUUUGCCAGGAUGUUUUCAUUAAUCAAGAACGAAAGUUAGGGGAUCGAAGACGAUCAGAUACCGUCGUAGUCUUAACCAUAAACGAUGCCGACCAGCGAUUAGGAGACGUUGAAUACAAAACACCGCUGUUAAUCCUUUCGGGGGUUAAUAGUUGGUGAAUGACUCCCUAGAGCUUGUGAGAA
rnacentral:rRNA from 1 species